AGAGUUUGAUCCUGGCUCAGGACGAACGCUGGCGGCGUGCCUAAUACAUGCAAGUCGAACGCACCCUUCGGGGUGAGUGGCGCACGGCUGAGUAACACGUGGGAAUCUGUCUUCUAGUGGGGGAUAACGUCUCGAAAGAGACGCUAAUCCCGCAUACGCUCGGCAACGAGGAAAGGCGCAAGUCGCUAGAAGAGGAGCCUGCGGCCCAUCAGGUAGUUGGAGAGGUAAUGGCUCACCAAGCCUAUGACGGGUAGCUGGUCUGUGAGGACAACCAGCCAGACUGGGACUGAGAACGGCCCAGACUCCUACGGGAGGCAGCAGUAAGGAAUUUUCGUCAAUGGGGGAAACCCUGAACGAGCAACGCCGCGUGGAGGAUGACGGUCUUCGGAUUGUAAACUCCUUUUGUGAGGGACGAUAAUGACGGUACCUCGCGAAUAAGCCCCGGCUAACUCUGUGCCAGCAGCCGCGGUAAUACAGAGGGGGCAAGCGUUGUCCGGAGUUACUGGGCGUAAAGCGCACGUAGGCGGUCCUGCAAGUGGUGUGUGAAACCAAUCAGCUUAACUGAUUGACGCCAUGCCAAACUGCAAGACUCGAGUCAUGGAGAGGUAGUUCGAAUUGCUGGUGUAGUGGUGAAAUGCGUAGAUAUCAGCAGGAAGACCAAGGGAGAAAUCAGACUACUGGCCAUGAACUGACGCUCAGGUGCGAAAGCGUGGGGAGCGAACUGGAUUAGAUACCCAGGUAGUCCACGCCGUAAACGAUGUAUGCUCGGUAUUUGGGCCUGUUAAGGGCUUGGGUACCUAAGGUAACCCGGUAAGCAUACCGCCUGGGAAGUACGAACGCAAGUUUAAAACUCAAAGGAAUUGACGGGGCCCCGCACAAGCAGCGGAGCGUGUGGUUUAAUUCGAUGCAACACGAAGAACCUUACCUGGGUUUGACAUGGACCUGCACGGCCAAGAGAUUGGUCAGCUUACGAAGGUGGUCCACAGAUGCUGCAUGGC
rnacentral:rRNA from 1 species